CCCUUAGAUGUUCUGGGCCGCACGCGCGCUACACUGAUGCAUUCAACGAGUUUCUUCCUGGUCCGAGAGGAAUGGGUAACCUUUUGAAAGUGCAUCGUGAUAGGGAUAGACUAUUGCAAUUAUUGGUCUUCAACGAGGAAUUCCUAGUAGACGUAGUUCAUCAGACUGCAUCGAAUACGUCCCUGCCCUUUGUACACACCGCCCGUCGCUCCUACCGAUCGAAGAGUUAGGUGAAUUGUUUUGAUCGAUAAGAUUUGACUAUGGUCAACUCUCGUUGUGAAAUUCUGUGAAUCUGACUGUUUAGAGGAAGGAAAAGUCGUAACA
rnacentral:rRNA from 1 species